rnacentral:rRNA from 1 species
UGAUCCUGGCUCAGAUUAAACGCUGGCGGAAUGCUUUACACAUGCAAGUCGAACGGCAGCAUAGAGAGCUUGCUCUCUGAUGGCGAGUGGCGAACGGGUGAGUAAUAUAUCGGAACGUGCCUAGUAAUGGGGAAUAACUAGCUGAAAGGUUAGCUAAUGCCGCAUACGACCUACGGGUGAAAGCAGGGGAUCUUCGGACCUUGCGUUAUUAGAGCGGCCGAUAUCUGAUUAGCUUGUUGGUGGGGUAAUGGCCUACCAAGGCGACGAUCAGUAGCUGGUCUGAGAGGACGAUCAGCCACACUGGAACUGAGACACGGUCCAGACUCCUACGGGAGGCAGCAGUGGGGAAUUUUGGACAAUGGGGGCAACCCUGAUCCAGCCAUUCCGCGUGAGUGAAGAAGGCCUUCGGGUUGUAAAGCUCUUUCGCAAGAGAAGAAAACUUGCUAUCUAAUAAAUAGUAAGUAUGACGGUAUCUUGACAAGAAGCACCGGCUAACUACGUGCCAGCAGCCGCGGUAAUACGUAGGGUGCAAGCGUUAAUCGGAAUUACUGGGCGUAAAGCGUGCGCAGGCAGUUUUAUAAGUCAGAUGUGAAAUCCCCGAGCUCAACUUGGGAACUGCGUUUGAAACUAUAAGACUAGAGUGUGCCAGAGGGGGGUAGAAUUCCAAGUGUAGCAGUGAAAUGCGUAGAGAUUUGGAGGAAUACCAAUGGCGAAGGCAGCCCCCUGGGAUAACACUGACGCUCAUGCACGAAAGCGUGGGGAGCAAACAGGAUUAGAUACCCUGGUAGU